UACAGAGGGGGCAAGCGUUGUUCGGAAUUACUGGGCGUAAAGGGCGCGUAGGCGGCCUGUUAAGUCGAACGUGAAAUCCCCGGGCUCAACCCGGGAACUGCGUCCGAUACUGGCAGGCUUGAAUCCGGGAGAGGGAUGCGGAAUUCCAGGUGGAGUGGUGAAAUGCGUAGAGAUCUGGAAGAACACCAAAGGCGAAGGCAGCAUCCUGGGAAGUUCCUGACGCUCGGGUGCGAAAGCCAGGGGAGCGAACGGG
rnacentral:rRNA from 1 species